GAUGAACGCUGGCGGCGUGCCUAAUACAUGCAAGUCGAGCGAACAGACGAGGAGCUUGCUCCUCUGACGUUAGCGGCGGACGGGUGAGUAACACGUGGAUAACCUACCUAUAAGACUGGGAUAACUUCGGGAAACCGGAGAUAAUACCGGAUAAUAUAUUGAACCGCAUGGUUCAAUAGUGAAAGACGGUUUUGCUGUCACUUAUAGAUGGAUCCGCGCCGCAUUAGUUAGUUGGUAAGGUAACGGCUUACCAAGGCAACGAUGCGUAGCCGACCUGAGAGGGUGAUCGGCCACACUGGAACUGAGACACGGUCCAGACUCCUACGGGAGGCAGCAGUGGGGAAUCUUCCGCAAUGGGCGAAAGCCUGACGGAGCAACGCCGCGUGAGUGAUGAAGGUCUUCGGAUCGUAAAACUCUGUUAUUAGGGAAGAACAAAUGUGUAAGUAACUAUGCACGUCUUGACGGUACCUAAUCAGAAAGCCACGGCUAACUACGUG
rnacentral:rRNA from 1 species